ensembl:lncRNA
GGUAACAGAUGAAUAAUAUAUGAAUAGAAAUUAUACAAUAAUGUUAAUGAAUGACAGAAGUAAUAAAUACUUGCAACGCAUGACAAAGUUCACUAAAUUAAAAGCCUGGUUGUGAGACCAAGGAUUGUUAAGACAAGAAAACUGUAUUGAUUAUGAACUGAAGAGGAGCCAGACAUUGAAGAUACUGGCAUAUUGGCCAGUGGCAUCACGGCUACUGGCAUCAUGCCUGAUGGAGUCAAGACUACUGGCAUCAUGCCUGCUGGAGUCAAGACUACUGGCAUCAAGACUACUGGCAUCAAGACAACUGGCUGUAAUGCAACUACAUUGGAACUGCCAUCUGCUGUUGUUGCUGUCGUUGUGGGGCCAGCUGUGGUUGUAGACAGACCAGUUGUGGUAGUUGUUGGUCCAGCUGUAGUAGGUGUUGGUUGAGCAUUGGUAGUUGUUGGUCCAGCUGUGGUUGUGGACUGGUCAGAUGUUAUUGGGCCAGCAAUGGUUGUAGUUGGAACAGCUGUUAUUUUAGUUGUGCCAAAUGUGGUUAUUGUUGGUCCAGCUGUGGUAGCAGUUGGGACAGCCGUUGUUUUAGUUGGGCCAGUUGUGGUAGUUGUUUGGCCAGCUACGGUAGCUAUCUGCCCAGCUAUGGUUGUUGUUGGUCCAGCUGUGGCAGUUGUUGGUCCUGUUGUGGUUUUUGAUGGACCAGCUUUGUUGGUUGUGGGGCUCGAUAUUGUGGUCGUUUGGCCAAAGGUUAUUGUUGGUCCAGCUGUGUUAGUUGUUGGACCAGCUGUGGUCUUUGUUGGAACAAAUGUUGUUGUCUUGCCAGAUGUAGUUGGUCCAGCUGUGGUAGUUGUUGGUCCAACUGUGGAAG